AACGAACGCUGGCGGCAGGCUUAACACAUGCAAGUCGAGCGCCCCGCAAGGGGAGCGGCAGACGGGUGAGUAACGCGUGGGAAUCUACCCAUCUCUACGGAAUAACGCAUGGAAACGUGUGCUAAUACCGUAUACGUCCUUCGGGAGAAAGAUUUAUCGGAGAUGGAUGAGCCCGCGUUGGAUUAGCUAGUUGGUGGGGUAAAGGCCUACCAAGGCGACGAUCCAUAGCUGGUCUGAGAGGAUGAUCAGCCACACUGGGACUGAGACACGGCCCGGAGUCCUACGGGAAGCAGCAGUGGGGAAUAUUGGACCAUGGGCGCAAACCUGAUCCAGCCAUGCCGCGUGAGUGAUGAAGGCCCUAGGGUUGUAAAGCUCCUUCACCGGUGAAGAUAAUGACGGUAACCGGAGAAGAAGCCCCGGCUAACUUCGUGCCAGCCGCCGCCGUAAAAC
rnacentral:rRNA from 1 species